CCUACGGGUGGCUGCAGUGGGGAAUAUUGGACAAUGGGGGCAACCCUGAUCCUGCCAUGCCGCGUGUGUGAAGAAGGCCCUCGGGUUGUAAAGCACUUUCAGUGAGGAAGAACGCCUGGUGGUUAAUACCCAUCAGGAAAGACAUCACUCACAGAAGAAGCACCGGCUAACUCCGUGCCAGCAGCCGCGGUAAUACGGAGGGUGCGAGCGUUAAUCGGAAUUACUGGGCGUAAAGCGCGCGUAGGUGGCUUGAUAAGCCGGUUGUGAAAGCCCCGGGCUCAACCUGGGAACGGCAUCCGGAACUGUCAAGCUAGAGUGCAGGAGAGGAAGGUAGAAUUCCCGGUGUAGCGGUGAAAUGCGUAGAGAUCGGGAGGAAUACCAGUGGCGAAGGCGGCCUUCUGGACUGACACUGACACUGAGGUGCGAAAGCGUGGGUAGCAAACAGGAUUAGAUACCCUGGUAGUC
rnacentral:rRNA from 1 species